rnacentral:rRNA from 1 species
ACUCCUACGGGAGGCAGCAGUGAGGAAUAUUGGUCGAAUGGAGGGAACUCUGAACCAGCCAUCCCGCGUGUAGGAAGACGGCCUUAUGGGUUGUAAACUACUUUUAUACAGGAAGAAACGUACCCUCGUGAGGGUGCCUGACGGUACUGUAGGAAUAAGCACCGGCUAACUCCGUGCCAGCAGCCGCGGUAAUACGGAGGGGUGCGAGCGUUAUCCGGAUUUAUUGGGGUUUAAAGGGUCCGUAGGCGGAUUAAUAAGUCAGUGGUGAAAUCCCAUCGCUUAACGAUGGAACUGCCAUUGAUACUGUUAGUCUUGAAUGAGGGUGCAGUGGUUGGAAUGUGUAGUGUAGCGGUGAAAUGCAUAGAUAUUACACAGAACACCGAUUGCGAAGGCAGAUCACUAACCCUAAAUUGACGCUGAGGGACGAAAGCGUGGGGAGCGAACAGGAUUAGAUACCCUGGUAGCGACUGA